rnacentral:rRNA from 1 species
CAGUCGCCGCGGUAAUACGAAGGGGGCUAGCGUUGUUCGGAAUUACUGGGCGUAAAGCGCACGUAGGCGGAUAUUUAAGUCAGGGGUGAAAUCCCAGAGCUCAACUCUGGAACUGCCUUUGAUACUGGGUAUCUUGAGUAUGGAAGAGGUAAGUGGAAUUCCAAGUGUAGAGGUGAAAUUCGUAGAUAUUCGGAGGAACACCAGUGGCGAAGGCGGCUUACUGGUCCAUUACUGACGCUGAGGUGCGAAAGCGUGGGGAGCAAACAGGAUUAGAGACCCCUGUAGUCCCUGUCUCUUAUAC